rnacentral:lncRNA from 1 species
CUUAGCCCAAAACCAACUCCUGUUCAAUCUCCACCACCACCUGUUCCAGAACCACCAACUCCUAGCCCAAAGCCAACUCCUGUCCAAUCUCCACCACCACCAACCCCUACACCAAAGCCAGCUCCUAUUCAAUCUCCUCCACCACCAACUCCGGUUCCAUCUUCAAUCCCACCUGUUUCAAAACCACCAACUCCUAGCCCGAAGCCAACUCCUAUCCAAUCACCACCACCAAUCCCUACUCCUACCCCAGAGCCAACUCCUGUUCAAUCUCCACCACCACCUGUUCCAGAACCACCAACCCUAGCCCAAGCCUCCUGCUACACCAAAGAGUUCCAUCUCCAUCCCACCUCAAACCACCAACCUGCCAACUCCUUCCAAUCUCCCUACCACCAACAAUCUGUUCCAGAACCACCAACUCCUGUCCAAUCUCCACCACCACCAACCCCCACACCAAAGCCAGCUCCUAUUCAAUCUCCUCCUCCACCACCAACUCCGGUUCCAUCUCCAUCCCCACCUGUUUCAAAACCACCAACUCCUAGCCCGAAGCCAACUCCUAUCCAAUCACCACCACCAAUCCCUACUCCUACCCCAGAGCCAACUCCUGUUCAAUCUCCACCACCACCUGUUCCAGAACCACCAACUCCUGUCCAAUCUCCACCACCACCAACCCCUACACCAAAGCCAGCUCCUAUUCAAUCUCCUCCACCACCAACUCCGGUUCCAUCUCCAUCCCCACCUGUUUCAAAACCACAACUCCUAGCCCAAAACCAACUCCUAUCCAAUCACCACAACCAAUCCCUACUCCUCCCCCAGAGCCAACUACUGUUCCAUCUCCACCCCUACCUGUUUCAAAACCACCAACUCCUAGCCCAAAGCCAACUCCUGUCCAAUUACCACCACCAACCCCUACCCCAGAGCCAACUCCUGCUCAUUCUUCACCACCAACUCCUGUUCCAUCUCCAUCCCCAC